GAAACCUCAUCUUGCUCGCCGCCAUCCGGGCGUCGAGCAGUGUUUUCCCUAAGGAAAGACACAAGCACUCCGCCUGGAUGAGGAGAGAGA
rnacentral:ncRNA from 1 species